rnacentral:rRNA from 1 species
AGAGUUUGAUCAUGGCUCAGGGCAAACGCUGGCGGCGUGCCUAAAACAUGCAAGUCGAACGCACAUCACUUGUGGUGUGAGUGGCAGACGGCUGAGUAACGCGUGGGUGACGUACCCGAUGGUGGGGAAUAACUGCCCGAAAGGGUGGCUAAUACCGCAUACGCCUGCAGCUUCGUGGCUGUAGGGAAAGUCGCAAGGCGCCAUUGAUGAGCGGCCCGCGUUCGAUUAGCUGGUUGGUGGGGUAACGGCCUACCAAGGCGACGAUCGAUAGCUGGUCUCAGAGGAUGAUCAGCCAGACUGGGACUGAGACACGGCCCAGACUCCUACGGGAGGCAGCAGUUAGGAAUUUUGGGCAAUGGGCGCAAGCCUGACCCAGCAACGCCGCGUGGGUGACGAAGGCCUUCGGGUUGUAAAGCCCUUUUCUGAGGGAAGAUGAUGACGGUACCUCAGGAAGAAGCACCGGCUAACUACGUGCCAGCAGCCGCGGUA